ACUUUCUCAGUAUUAAGGCACGCCUGCCCGGUGACAAUUAAACGGCCGCGGUACCCUAACCGUGCAAAGGUAGCGCAAUCACUUGUCUAUUAAUUGUAGACCUGUAUGAAAGGCAAAAUGAGGGCCUAACUGUCUCUUACAACUAAUCAAUUAAACUGAUCUCCCAGUACAAAAGCUGGAAUAAAAACAUAAGACCAGAAGACCCUGUGAAGCUUAAACUAAACUAUCAAACCACAUGAUAACUAAUUUCGGUUGGGGCGACCUUGGAAACAAAAAGAACUUCCAAACAUAAUUCUUAAUAAAAGAAACAAAAGGCUGACAAGCCAAAUAACGACCCAGCAUCGCUGAUAAAUGAAACAAGUUACUCCAGGGAUAACAGCGCUAUCUUCUUUAAGAGUCCAUAUCAAAAAGAAGGUUUACGACCUCGAUGUUGGAUCAGGACAUCCUAAUGGUGCAGCCGCUAUUAAGGGUUCGUUUGUUCAACGAUUAAUAGUCCCACGUGAUCUGUUUUGAAAAMCGGGAACUUUUGGUUUUAUUCAUUU
rnacentral:rRNA from 1 species